CCUACGGGGCGCUGCAGUGGGGAAUAUUGGACAAUGGGCGAAAGCCUGAUCCAGCCAUGCCGCGUGUGUGAAGAAGGCCUUCGGGUUGUAAAGCACUUUCAGUGGGGAAGAAAGCCUUGGGGCUAAUACCCUCGAGGAAGGACAUCACCCACAGAAGAAGCACCGGCUAACUCCGUGCCAGCAGCCGCGGUAAUACGGAGGGUGCGAGCGUUAAUCGGAAUUACUGGGCGUAAAGCGCGCGUAGGCGGUCUGAUAAGCCGGUUGUGAAAGCCCCGGGCUCAACCUGGGAACGGCAUCCGGAACUGUCAGGCUAGAGUGCAGGAGAGGAAGGUAGAAUUCCCGGUGUAGCGGUGAAAUGCGUAGAGAUCGGGAGGAAUACCAGUGGCGAAGGCAGCCUUCUGGACUGACACUGACGCUGAGGUGCGAAAGCGUGGGUAGCAAACAGGAUUAGAUACCCCAGUAGUC
rnacentral:rRNA from 1 species